rnacentral:rRNA from 1 species
CGCGUAGGCGGUUUGGUAAGUCAGAUGUGAAAUUCACCGGCUUAACCGGUCGAACUGCAUCCGAUACUGCCAGACUUGAGAUCAGUAGAGGAGAGUGGAAUUCCCAGUGUAGCGGUGGAAUGCGUAGAUAUUGGGAAGAACACCGGUGGCGAAGGCGGCUCUCUGGACUGAUUCUGACGCUGAGGCGCGAAAGCUAGGGGAGCGAACA